UACGGAGGGUGCUAGCGUUGCUCGGAAUCACUGGGCGUAAAGCGCGUGUAGGCGGUUUCGUGUGUCUGACGUGAAAGCCCCGGGCUCAACCCGGGAAGUGCGUUGGAAACUGCGGAACUAGAGUCCCGGAGAGGGAGGUGGAAUUCCAGGUGUAGCGGUGAAACGCGUAGAUAUCUGGAAGAACACCGGUGGCGAAGGCGGCCUCCUGGACGGUGACUGACGCUGAGACGCGAAAGCGUGGGGAGCAAACAGG
rnacentral:rRNA from 1 species